rnacentral:rRNA from 1 species
AGAGUUUGAUCCUGGCUCAGAUUGAACGCUGGCGGCAGGCCUAACACAUGCAAGUCGAGCGGAAACGAGUUAUCUGAACCUUCGGGGAACGAUAACGGCGUCGAGCGGCGGACGGGUGAGUAAUGCCUAGGAAAUUGCCUUGAUGUGGGGGAUAACCAUUGGAAACGAUGGCUAAUACCGCAUAAUGCCUACGGGCCAAAGAGGGGGACCUUCGGGCCUCUCGCGUCAAGAUAUGCCUAGGUGGGAUUAGCUAGUUGGUGAGGUAAUGGCUCACCAAGGCGACGAUCCCUAGCUGGUCUGAGAGGAUGAUCAGCCACACUGGAACUGAGACACGGUCCAGACUCCUACGGGAGGCAGCAGUGGGGAAUAUUGCACAAUGGGCGAAAGCCUGAUGCAGCCAUGCCGCGUGUAUGAAGAAGGCCUUCGGGUUGUAAAGUACUUUCAGUUGUGAGGAAGGGGGUGUCGUUAAUAGCGGCAUCUCUUGACGUUAGCAACAGAAGAAGCACCGGCUAACUCCGUGCCAGCAGCCGCGGUAAUAC